CAAGCCGCAUUCCACGCCGCCAAUAUGGCGUCCCCCGUAUAGAAGGUGGCCGUGGUUUCUAUCGCAGGUGGUCAGGGGCAGAGGUGAGCGCGGGUUACUGUCCGUUCAGCUCGGGCUGCAGUUAACAGCAGUUAAAGUUCGUCUUGGAUUACGGUUCAUACAAGCCACCGUCCUCUGAGGGAUAGGAACUGCCACUUCCAUUUAGUUCCUGCAAGUUUCUUCUUGGCCCCUGAUUUCUUUCCGGAGUCACCUCCGGAUACCCCAGGACCCUGACCCUCCCAGACUCAGACUAUGAGCCUUCGGCAGCUGCUGAUACCCUUGCCCUGUUAUCUGGGGCCCUUGGGCCUCCUACGUCGCCCGUUGUGGUUCCCGUCUACUGUGGGGUCCUGGCGUGCUCAGUCCUCCAGGUCCCAGAGUCACUGGAACCAGGUGGUGUCAGAGGCGGAGAAGAUCGUGGGUUAUCCCACAUCCUUCAUGAGCCUCCGCUGCCUGCUGAGCGACGAGCUCAGCAACAUCGCUAUGCAGGUGCGGAAGCUGGUGGGGACUCAACACCCUCUGCUUACCACUGCCAGGGGAUUUGUACACGAGAGCCGGCAUAACCUGCAGCUCAGGGGCCUGGUGGUGCUCCUGAUCUCUAAAGCAGCGGGGCCCAGCGGCUUGGACACUGCAUGUCAGAACGAUGACAUGGUCAGCGGGAUCUACUCAUGGGUAAAGGGAGACAGUAUUUCCAGAGAAGAGAAUCCUCAUCGAGGGUUUCUCAAGAAGGCACCCCCAGCCGCCAGCAGGGGCCAUUUCAGGGCUGACUUCAGGGCUCAGAGAAGUUUGGCAGAGAUCACAGAACUCAUCCAUACUGCUCUCCUUGUGCAUCGCGGGAUAGUAAAUUUAAAUGAAUUGCAGUCUUCGGAUGGACCCCUGAAGGACAUGCAGUUUGGAAAUAAAAUAGCUAUCCUGAGUGGAGACUUUCUUCUAGCAAAUGCCUGCAAUGGACUGGCUCUGCUACAGAACAGCAAGGUCGUAGAACUUCUAGCAAGUGCUCUUAUGGACUUGGUACAAGGCGUAUACCAUGAAAAUUCGACUUCAGCCAAGGAAAAGGCCAUCACUGACGACAUUGGCAUAUCCACGUGGAAGGAGCAGACUUUUCUCUCCCACUGUGCCUUGCUGGCCAAGAGCUGCCAGGCUGCCAUGGAGCUGGCGCGGCACGGUGCCGAGGUGCAGGGCACGGCGUUCCGCUACGGCAAGCACGUGGCCAUGAGCCACAAGAUACAUUCUGACCUCCAGCCUUUUAUUAAAGAGAAGGCCAGUGAGUCCGCGACUUUUAAUCUAAACUCAGCACCUGUGGUUUUACAUCAGGAAUUUCUUGGAAGAGAUUUGUGGAUGAAGCAGAUCAGAGAGGCUCAAGAAAAAGGAAGGUUAGACUAUGCUAAGUUGCGAGAAACAAUCAAAGCUGGCAAAGGUGUGACUUCAGCUAUUGACCUGUGUCGUUACCAUGGAAACAAGGCCCUGGCGGCCCUGGAGAGCUUCCCUCCCUCGGAGGCCAGAUCAGCUUUGGAAAACAUCGUGUUUGCGGUGACCAGAUUUUCAUGACACUGAGUUUCAAAAGACACUGUUAUUCCUUAACUGGAAAACCUGAGGAAUAAGCCCAUCUUCCUCUGCACGGUUCUAACCAGGGCGUAGAUUCAACGUGGGGGCCUGUCUUCAUCUAACGCGCUGUAAGGUUGCUCUCCGUGGCACUGCCGUCACUAUGACUCGUGAGCCAGCCAAGGCGCCGUCUGUUCCUGCGCGGUGUGUCUGGUGACAGGUACAGUCCACACAAGAGGCUUGCGUGAGUCAACCACUGAAGCCACUGAAGAAAGACCGCGGCUUGGGAACCGCCUUCAAGGCUCACGGUGCAGGUGAAAGCAGCGAUGACCUCCGGCUGGGCCUGCAGCUCAGCGGAGGAGCCUGCCUGCACCCGGGAGGCCCUGGCUCCUUCCCAGCACAGAGCACAGCAGAUGACCCCGAGUCCUCCCGAGUGGUCCUCGGCUCACCCAGCCCGAGCUUGCAGCCCCAGCGGGACCUCGUGCUUCUGUGCACUUUGCAGAUCUCGCACGCCGCACCCUGCAAGCUUGCAGCCCGCUGAAGUGCUUUUCUCUGACCCUGAAGUUCAGUGUCUCAGAGUGAGGACAGUCCCCCCUUCACUCCAGUGUCAUUGUCACAGCUUGACUUCUGUUUUGUUGCAAUACUGGGGAUUGAACUCAAGGCCUUCACACUGAACUGCAUCCCUAACCCUUGCUUUUUAGGUUUUUUGUGUGUUUGAUUGUUUGUUUGUUUGGUUGGUUGGAGCUUUAAGUCUCACUACUUAGUUUAAAUUGGACCUUGAACUCUGUACCCAGGCUGGUUUGCAGCAAUCCUCCUGCCUCAGCCAUGUAUAUGCCACCAGUCCAGGCUGUUUGUUUUAAUUUUGAGAUAAGGUUUCACUAAAUUGCUGGGCUGGCUUUGAGCCUGCUGUCCUGCCUCAGCCUCCUGGGGGCUGGGAUUAUAGGCCUGUCACCUCCAAACCCAACUGCUGCUUCUCUUUUGUUUGAAACUGUUUUGUAAAAUGAGAAACCCUCUUCACUUGGAAGCCCCGGGGGAAGGGAGAUGGUAGGGUUUGUUCAAGGGAAACAAUCUUUUUCUUCUCCUUUUGGCAGUACUGGUGAUGGAAUCCAGGGCCUUUGAGACUGAGCUGCAUUCCCAAACCUCUCUAUUCUUUCUGUGAUAAGAGCUAACUAACCUGCCAAACUGCCCCCGGCUGGGCUGGAAUUCACGGUCUGCCGGGAGCGCUGAGAUUACAGGACCCACCACCACACCCAACCGAAAUAAUCUGUGACUCAAAUCUUUCAUCCUGCUGGGGAUUUAGCUCAGCGGCAUAAGUGCCUGCCUUGUAAGCACGUUGUUGAGAGUUUGAUCCCUGGUACCGAUUAAAAAAAAAAAUAUUUCAUCCUA